rnacentral:rRNA from 1 species
CCUACGGGUGGCAGCAGUGGGGAAUAUUCCACAAUGGGCGCAAGCCUGAUGCAGCCAUGCCGCGUGAAUGAAGAAGGCCUUCGGGUUGUAAAGUACUUUCAGUCGGGAGGAAGGUCUCAAGGUUAAUAACCUUGGCAAUUGAUAUUACCGUCCGAAGAAGCACCGGCUAACUACGUGCCAGCAGCCGCGGUAAUACGGAGGGUGCAAGCGUUAACCGGAAUUACUGGGCGUAAAGCGCACGUAGGCGGCUGAUUGAGUCUGAUGUGAAAUCUCCGGGCUUAACCCGGGAAUUGCAUGGGAAACUGGUCGGCUAGAGUGUUGGAGAGGGAGGUGGAAUUCCAUGUGUAGCGGUGAAAUGCGUAGAGAUGUGGAGGAAUACCAGUGGCGAAGGCGGCCCCCUGGAC